rnacentral:rRNA from 1 species
UUGACCCGUUCGACCUCAAAUCAGGCAGGACUACCCCGCUGAACUUAA